rnacentral:miRNA from 1 species
CGGGACUUUGGGGGCGAGAUG